rfam:Polaribacter sp. SA4-12 genome.
GGGGACGACUGGUUUUGACAGCGAGGACAGUGAAUUUGUAAGCAUACCGAGUUAUGAAAUAACACUCGUAAAACCUAAUUUCAACUUUUUAAACGGCGAAGAUAACUACGCUUUAGCUGCUUAAUCCGAAUUAUAGUAGGAUUAGCCUCGGCACACUAGGUGUGCAAGCUUUAUGUCCACGGAAAGCCCUGAUUUACGGCGUUUCACUUUUGGAUAUCGUAAAAGUAAAUAUAGAAAACCUGGUACUUCGGAGGGUUUUUGAAACUAAAGAAGUUAAGCUAAAAGCAGAUUGUUCUUAAUCAACUUUUAGUCGAAAAUUAAGAAAGAACUAAGUAUGUAGAAAGCCUUUUGGCUGCUCGUUUGGACCCGAGUUCGAUUCUCGGCGUCUCCACAA